UAGGGAAUCUUCGGCAAUGGACGAAAGUCUGACCGAGCAACGCCGCGUGAGUGAAGAAGGUUUUCGGAUCGUAAAACUCUGUUGUUAGAGAAGAACAAGGACGUUAGUAACUGAACGUCCCCUGACGGUAUCUAACCAGAAAGCCACGGCUAACUACGUGCCAGCAGCCGCGGUAAUACGUAGGUGGCAAGCGUUGUCCGGAUUUAUUGGGCGUAAAGCGAGCGCAGGCGGUUUCUUAAGUCUGAUGUGAAAGCCCCCGGCUCAACCGGGGGGGGUCAUUGGAAACUGGGGGACUUGAGUGCAGAAGAGGAGAGUGGAAUUCCAUGUGUAGCGGUGAAAUGCGUAGAUAUAUGGAGGAACACCAGUGGCGAAGGCGGCUCUCUGGUCUGUAACUGACGCUGAGGCUCGAAAGCGUGGGGAGCAAACAGG
rnacentral:rRNA from 1 species